CCUACGUGAGGCAGCAGUGGGGAAUAUUGCACAAUGGGGGAAACCCUGAUGCAGCGACGCCGCGUGAGUGAAGAAGUAAUUCGUUAUGUACAGCUCUAUCAGCAGGGAAGAAAAUGACGGUACCUGAGUAAGAAGCCCCGUCUAACUAAGUGCCAGCAGCCGCGGUAAUACGUAGGGGGCAAGCGUUAUCCGGAUGUACCGGGUGUAAAGGGAGUGUAGACGGUUGUGUAAGUCUGGAGUGAAAGGCUGGGGCUCAACCCCCGGACUGCUCUGGAAACUGUACGGCUGGAGUGCAGGAGAGGUAAGUGGAAUUCCUAGUGUAGCGGUGAAAUGCGUAGAUAUUAGGAAGAACACCAGUGGCGAAGGCAGCUUACUGGACUGUAACUGACGUUGAGGCUCGAAAGCGUGGGGAGCAAACAGGAUUAGAUACCCCGGUAGUC
rnacentral:rRNA from 1 species